AUGGAAGGGGCAUCGUACCAGCGCUUUCCGAAGGUCAAGAUCCGAGAGCUCAGAGAUGACUAUGCCAAAUUCGAGCUCCACGACACUGAUGUUAGCAUGGCCAACGCCCUCCGUCGCGUCAUGAUCGCCGAGGUCCCCACCAUCGCCAUCGACCUGGUAGAAAUUGAAGUGAACUCCUCAGUUCUCAACGAUGAGUUCAUCGCCCAUCGCCUCGGUCUCAUUCCCCUCACCAGCGAGCGUGCCAUGUCUAUGCGCUUCUCUCGCGACUGUGAUGCUUGUGAUGGUGAUGGCCAGUGCGAGUUUUGCUCUGUCGAGUUUCACCUUCGUGCCAAGUGCCACUCUGACCAAACCCUAGACGUCUCCAGCAAGGAUCUCUAUAGUUCCGAUCACACUGUUGUCCCUGUUGAUUUCUCUGAUUCUGCAGCAGCUGCUGGUGAAGCCCUUGAUACCAAAGGAAUAAUCAUUGUGAAGCUACGUCGGGGUCAAGAAUUGAGGUUGAGAGCCAUAGCCAGGAAGGGCAUUGGUAAAGAUCAUGCAAAAUGGUCGCCUGCAGCAACUGUGACCUUCAUGUAUGAACCAAGCAUUCACAUCAAUGAAGACCUAAUGGAGACAUUAACACUAGAGGAAAAGACUUCCUGGGUUGAAAGUAGCCCAACCAAAGUCUUUGAAUUGGAUCCUGUUACCCACCAGGUUCUGGUGGUUGAUCCAGAGGCAUACACUUAUGAUGAUGAAGUGAUUAAGAAAGCAGAGGCAAUGGGUAAAGCUGGACUAGUGGAUAUCACUGCGAAAGAAGAUAGUUUUAUCUUCACAGUUGAAUCUACCGGUGCAAUAAAAGCUUCCCAGUUGAUACUCAAUGCCAUAGAUAUUCUGAAACAGAAACUGGAUGCAGUCCGCCUUUCAGACGAUACUGUAGAAGCAGAUGAUCAGUUUGGUGAGUUAGGUGCACAUAUGCGAGGUGGAUGAUCCAGAUACCAGGCCUUCCCAUAUGUUUCUAGGAGAUAUGCUUUCUGGAAUGGCAUUCUCAUUUGAAAUGCUGUCAAAAAGAUGCUCAGAAUUUUGUCUGAGAAAGUCAGACAUGGCUGCCUGCACACACCUUUGCUGCUUCCUCUGAGAACAGUUGACUCUUCAAAGGCUGGAUUCUUUCGGGGCCCCUAAGGAAGAAAACAACAACCAGAACCUUCUCUGAGUUAUUUUGGAAUUCAACUACCCUUAUUAUCUCAACCACUUUAAAAUGGACUUUACUCAUGUUUCUCUUCAUUUCUUCUUAUUAACCUGUUGGAGAAUGGUGUUGCAAGACAAAUUUUAUUAACAUGUUUUUGUUUGAGUUGUUCUUAGAGUAUUUGUUCUUUGGACUUGGAGGACAAAUCUUU